rnacentral:rRNA from 1 species
UACAGAGGGUGCGAGCGUUAAUCGGAAUUACUGGGCGUAAAGCGUGCGUAGACGGUUAUUUAAGUCGAUGUGAAAGCCCCGGGCUCAACCUGGGAAUUGCAUUCGAGACUGAAUAGCUAGGGUACGGUAGAGGGGAAGUGGAAAUUUCCGGUGUAGCGGUGAAAAUGCGUAGAUAUCGGAAGGAAACAUCAGUGGCGAAAAGCGACUUCCUGGGACCCAAAUACCUGA